UUAGUUCAUAUUUGUAUGGAAUGGGAUCGUUUGCGUACGUUUGCCGCUAGGGGCGCUGUUCCAGCUGCAUACAAAAUUGGCUUA
rnacentral:pre_miRNA from 1 species